rnacentral:lncRNA from 1 species
AACACAGCGGCUGGGAGGACAGACGGGCUGCUCUUAAAGUUUCCAGCCUGGUGCAGGCCAAGAAGGUUCAGUGGUUCACUGGACAGCAGUCCAGGGGAGUAAAAGGAUCGGCAGGGACAAGGCUGUAUCUCGCUACAGCUGAAACCGCAGGCUAGAUUUAAAAAAAAAAGAAGAAGAAAUAACUGAAUGCGCAGUCUGCUACCUUUGGUGACUGCCGAGCUGCUUCCGCACUGCUCCGGCGAGAUCCGCUGAGAGGGGACUGUCCCUCUGAGGAGAACCAGAGGAACGAAUGCCCACCUGGGGAGAGGCGCUGCUCCAGCAAGAUGGACAUCGAAAGUGCCCUAGCCUGGCUGCGCCGAGAACUGAUUGAGUUGCGAUCCCAGGACCAGCUUCUUAUUCGCCAGCUGAUGGACCUUCAUGCCGGCAUUCAGGAGCUCAAGAUGGAAUAUGCCGAGAUUGAAGGCGACGAGUUGGAGGAGGAAGAAGAAGAGGAGGAGGACUGGGACUCUGGGAGCGAGACCGAGCUGGGCUACCACUCCACCAUGCCCUACCUGUGCUCCACCUCCAGAGCUUCUCCCCCUUCUCUGGGCUCUCGAUCCAAGAGAGUGUACAGCAGGAGAAGCUCUGUGCCCUAAAUGGGGACCGGGUCACCACUGUUCCGCUCACAUGGGCUGAAUUUUGCAAAGCUGCUUUUCCAACACGAGCCUGUGUGUUUCAUGGCAAAUGUCAGAAGAACAUCUUUUCUGAAUUCGGCCCACCUUCAUGUCCAGAUCCCACUUAAAAGAUAUGACUUUUAAACAAAGCCAGAUGUAAAAGGCUGCAAUUGUGUAUUUGUUAUUUUGUGUGGCGUUUUUUUUUUUUUUAACUCAACCAAAGGCAGCGUGUCUGUGCCUGAAGUCUUAUGUGUAAAUGAACCUGUUUGUACAAUAAUGUGUGAGCGCAUUUUUGUUAAUUAGUUAAGCAGAGGGGCAGGACACAAACAGGACACAAGCAGUGCAAUGAAAUGUGUCACAACUGUUGAUAAAAACAGGCACCAGAUUCUAGCAAAAUUAAUUUAUGUGUGACAUUAUUGCUAUAUGCUACGCUGGGCAGAAAUUUUGCAGAACUCUGCUAAAGGAGGGCUGCUACCAAAUUUAAAUGUUGACUUGGCUGAAUAAGCAGUAUAAUGUGUAGUCAUAGUAGAAAACAUGCAAGUAAAGUCUAGUUUUUAAUUGUGCUAGGACCAGUGCAAAUAUAGAACAAGCCUGGCAUGACCUCUUCCUCCUCUGUCCACAGCUAAAAAACGGAAUUCUGCCCAUGGUCACGGAAUGUCACACAAAUGAUGAAAUAUUACAUACUGUUGCAUGGCAUAUAGUAUGGGGCAGUGGUGGCUUAGCGGUUAAGGAAGCGGCCGAGGUGACACUGAGCAAAGCACCGUCCCCACUCACUGCUCACCAAGGGUGAUGGGUUAAAAGAAGAGAAGCAAUUUCUUUCAGGAUUAAUAAAGUUUCAAAAUAAAUAAAUAAAUAAAUAAUA